GCACGUGAUGACUGAAACAUUCUUCACUUUGACCUGAUUGUCCAGUGAUGACAACCUUUUGUCUGAGC
ensembl:snoRNA small nucleolar RNA SNORD37